CUCACGAACCCAUUUCCGUUUUCAAUCUCGCUUCUGAGUUCUGCACUUGAUCCUUAGCCCUGGAUCUUUACGCUUUUCGGUAUCUUCUAGAAAGCUCAAGUUACUCACUUCGAUGUUGUUCAGUUUCAGUUAGUGAUACUUCUAAUUUCAAACCGUUGUAAUCCCUUGGAAAUUUUUUUCACUCUCUUAGCAUCUAGGGUUUACUCUAUCAUUUUUUGCGUUUCAAGAUUUUCUGAAUUUCUUUUACCAAUUUUGUUCGCGUUUUAAGGUCAAUAUUCAUGCAUCUUAUUAGUGCAUGGAGAAUCCCUGUGAGGUGCUCGGUUCCAAAGGGUUAAUUAGAAGGCAUGAAUUUGUGAGGAUCAUAAUCCAGUGUCUAUAUUCAUUAGGGUACAGUAGCUCUGCAUCGUGUUUGGAAUCGGAAUCUGGUAUUUCGUACAAGUCCAAUGAGGUUAAGUUGCUUGAAUCACUUAUUUUGAACGGGAGUUGGGACGAAAGCAUUGAUUAUCUCAAUUCCAUAAAGGAUGAGUUGGGUGAAACCAGGGAAUCUGCCCUGUUUCUUGUGUUCAGACAGUGUGUUAUGGAGUAUUUGAAUUGCGGCGAGUAUGCCUUAGCUUUAGGGGUGUUAAGGAAACAAGUUUCUGCCUUGGAUGCGGGCAAGUGCAAAGUUCACAGCUUCGCUAAGUGCUUGCUUUCGUUUAAGGAUAGGGAGUUAGGUGCAGUUGAUGGUGGCGAUGUUGUUGUGCAUGAUUUGCGAAAGAAGUUAUUAGCAGAUUUGGAGAAGUUGUUUCCUCCUCCGAUUUCGGUGCCUGAAGGAAGGCUGGAGCAUUUGGUAGAAAAUACUGUUAUGUCUUGGGUUGAUUCGUGUAUGUAUCAUAGUUCGUCGAGUCCAAUUUCACUUUAUGAGGAUCAUCAUUGCAGCAGGGAUCAGAUUCCUACUACAACGACUCAGAUAUUGACUGGACAUAAAAAUGAAGUUUGGUUUGUUCAAUUUUCUAAUAAUGGAGAGUACCUGGCCUCUUCAUCCAAUGAUUGCACCGCCAUCAUAUGGAAGGUGCUGGAGGAUGGGAAAUUGACAUUGAAGCACACACUUUAUGGUCACCAACAUGCUGUAUCUUUUGUAGCAUGGAGUCCUGAUGACACCAAGUUGCUUACAUGUGGGAACACAGAAGUUUUGAAGCUGUGGGAUGUUGAAACAGGUACAUGCAAGCACACAUUUGGGAAUCAAGGCUUUGUUGUCAGCUCUUGUGCCUGGUUUCCCAACUCAAAACAGUUCGUGUGUGGCAGUUCUGACCCUGAAAAGGGCGUUUGCAUGUGGGAUUGUGAUGGAAAUGUGAUAAAAUCAUGGAGAGGAAUGAGGAUGCCCAAGGUCGUAGAUCUUGCUGUUACUCCAGAUGGUGAGUAUCUUAUCAGCAUAUUCAUGGAUAAAGAAAUUCGGAUUCUGCACAUGGGAACCUAUGCUGAGCGAGUCAUUUCAGAGGAGCACCCAAUCACAUCCCUUUCAGUUUCAGGAGAUAGCAAGUUCUUCAUUGUCAAUCUAAACAGCCAGGAGAUUCAUAUGUGGGAUGUGGCUGGGAAAUGGGAUAAGCCAUUGAGGUUUAUGGGCCACAAGCAACACAAAUAUGUGAUAAGGUCAUGCUUUGGUGGAUUGAAUAACACGUUUAUCGCCAGUGGUAGUGAGAAUUCACAGGUAUACAUUUGGAACUGCCGGAACUCCAGGCCUGUAGAGGUUCUAUCUGGGCACUCCAUGACUGUGAACUGUGUGAGUUGGAACCCCAAAAUACCACAAAUGUUGGCAUCUGCAAGUGAUGAUUAUACCAUUCGUAUAUGGGGACCCAGCUUACAAAAAAAAGAAGGCCAACUUGAGUAGAUUAGACACGUUGCAUAUUAAAAUUUCAAGCUUAGUGUAUAGCUUAUACACGUUUUAGUAUAUUCUUUUUCCCCCCGCACAAAGUCUGUUCAGGUCACAGCUUGAGUUUGUAAAGUCUUAGUUUACCCAUGCAAGAAUUUUGGAAUUUUGGGCUACAUUUCACAUCUGUACACUGUACAUCUCCUUUCCUUCGUUUAUUACUCCCUUAAUUUGUCACAUUUCGUGCAGAAUCUAAUACGUUGAAGUCAGGAUUUACUCUUUCAUCACUGUGAUUUGAAAAUGGUAGCAGUAUAUUCCUUUUCUUCCCCAAGAAUAUGUUUACUAGUCAGUUGGAUAGAUCUAUGGGCAGCAUGUGCUGUAGGUCCCCUGUUGGCAGAGACAGGCAUAAUAAUCAUCACAUCUGCACUCAGCACUUUGCGGCUUCCUAACCGGUUUCUUUUCAGUUCGAACAUGAUGGGGUCGAGACCUAGGAUGCACCAAAACGGGCACCAGGACGGAGGACGGAGGACGGAAAACGGUUAAAAGAAGAGAAGGUUCAAGUAGUUGAUGUCUCGCUAAGAGAGACAUAUGUGCUUAGCGAGUGACAUCCGCUAAGCAAAGCAUGCAGCUCGCUUAGCAUGUUGGAAAACCCUAGAAUAGGAUCAGUCAGAGAUGUGCUCGCCCAGCAUGCCGCAAACUUGUCUAGCGAGUAGAUUGUCUCUUCUCGCGCUCAGCGCGCCCAGCUCGCUAAGCCGAAUUUCACUUACUCUCGCUUAGCGAGCUAAUCUCGCUAAGCGAGCCUUCAGAAGCUGAAAUGUCCAAGUAACCUUUAAAACACGAACGUUGGCGGAAACAGGGGAGAGUAAAAAAAUAGAGCCAAGAGAGAAGCUGAAGCAACAGAAGUCAAGUCACCAAGAGAGUUUAUGUUAGAGGAGUGAGAUUAGAGUUCUAGAGGUUGAAGGAGACAUCCUCAAUCCUUCUUAGCCAUUUUCUUCCACUUAAACUCUGUUCUUCCUUGUAUUGGACGUUCAUUUCUUGUAAUGGAAGGCUAAACCUCUUGGUUGGGAAGUUCUGUUGAACCCUUGAUGUAACAUUAUUUCACUAUCUAUUUAAUGUUGUUUUUCUGUGUU